CAGUGACUCUUUAAACGGCCGCGGUAUCCUAACCGUGCAAAGGUAGCAUAAUCACUUGUCCCCUAAAUAGGGACUGGAAUGAACGGCUAAAUGAGGACAAAGCUGUCUCUUACGGCCUAGCCAAUGAAAUUGAUCCUCCAGUACAAAAGCUGGAAUAAACUCAUAAGACGAGAAGACCCUGUGGAGCUUUAAAACCAAGAUCAUUAAACUAUGCUCCUUGGAUUUUUAGUUGGGGCGACUUUGGAGCAAAAAAAACCCUCCAAAACAUAAAUUUAAUUAUUUAGACCAACACACCAAGAAAAUUAUAUUAGACCCAGCAGUAUUUUUUUACUGUCUGACCAAUGAACCAAGUUACCCCAGGGAUAACAGCGCUAUCCUCUUCUAGAGUCCCUAUCGACAAGAGGGUUU
rnacentral:rRNA from 1 species